rnacentral:rRNA from 1 species
UACGUAGGCAGCGAGCGUUGUUCGGAGUUACUGGGCGUAAAGAGUGCGUAGGCGGUUUUCUAAGUUUGGUGUGAAAUCUCCCGGCUUAACUGGGAGGGUGCGCCGAAAACUGGAAGGCUUGAGUAUGGGAGAGGUAAGCGGAAUUCCUGGUGUAGCGGUGAAAUGCGUAGAUAUCAGGAGGAACACCGGUGGCGAAGGCGGGUCUCUGGGCCGUAACUGACGCUGAGGAGCGAAAGCAUGGGUAGCGAACAGG